rnacentral:rRNA from 1 species
CGGGUGAGUAACGCGUAAGCAAUCUGCCCCUAAGACGAGGAUAACAGUUGGAAACGACUGCUAAGACUGGAUAGGAGACAAGAAGGCAUCUUCUUGUUUUUAAAAGACCUAGCAAUAGGUAUGCUUAGGGAGGAGCUUGCGUCACAUUAGUUAGUUGGUGGGGUAAAGGCCUACCAAGACUAUGAUGUGUAGCCGGGCUGAGAGGUUGAACGGCCACAUUGGGACUGAGACACGGCCCAAACUCCUACGGGAGGCAGCAGUAGGGAAUUUUCGGCAAUGGAGGAAACUCUGACCGAGCAACGCCGCGUGAACGAUGAAGUAUUUCGGUACGUAAAGUUCUUUUAUUAGGGAAGAAUAAAUGAUGGAAAAAUCAUUCUGACGGUACCUAAUGAAUAAGCCCCGGCUAACUAUGUGCCAGCAGCCGCGGUAAUACAUAGGGGGCAAGCGUUAUCCGGAAUUAUUGGGCGUAAAGGGUGCGUAGGCGGUUAAAUAAGUUUAUGGUCUAAGUGCAAUGCUCAACAUUGUGAUGCUAUAAAAACUGUUUAGCUAGAGUAAGAUAGAGGCAAGUGGAAUUCCAUGUGUAGUGGUAAAAUGCGUAAAUAUAUGGAGGAACACCAGUAGCGAAGGCGGCUUGCUGGGUCUUUACUGACGCUGAGGCACGAAAGCGUGGGGAGCAAACAGGAUUAGAUACCCUGGUAGUCCACGCCGUAAACGAUGAGUACUAAACGUUGGGUAAAACCAGUGUUGAAGUUAACACAUUAAGUACUCCGCCUGAGUAGUACGUACGCAAGUAUGAAACUUAAAGGAAUUGACGGGACUCCGCACAAGCGGUGGAUCAUGUUGUUUAAUUCGAAGGUACCCGAAAAACCUCACCAGGUCUUGACAUGCUUCUGCAAAGCUGUAGAAACACAGUGGAGGUUAUCAGUUGCACAGGUGGUGCAUGGUUGUCGUCAGCUCGUGUCGUGAGAUGUUGGGUUAAGUCCCGCAACGAGCGCAACCCUUAUUGUUAGUUACCAGCACGUAAUGGUGGGGACUUUAGCAAGACUGCCAGUGAUAAAUUGGAGGAAGGUGGGGACGACGUCAAAUCAUCAUGCCCCUUAUGACCUGGGCUACAAACGUGAUACAAUGGCUGUUACAAAGGGUAGCUGAAGCGCAAGUUUUUGGCGAAUCUCAAAAAAACAGUCUCAGUUCGGAUUGAAGUCUGCAACUCGACUUCAUGAAGUUGGAAUCGCUAGUAAUCGCGAAUCAGCAUGUCGCGGUGAAUACGUUCUCGGGGUUUGUACACACCGCCCGUCAAACCACGAAAGUUGGCAAUACCCAAAGCCGGUGGCCUAAC